rnacentral:rRNA from 1 species
UACGUAGGGUGCAAGCGUUGUCCGGAAUUAUUGGGCGUAAAGAGCUCGUAGGCGGUUUGUUGCGUCGGCUGUGAAAUCCCGGGGCUCAACCUCGGGUCUGCAGUCGAUACGAGCAAACUAGAGUGUUGCAGGGGAGACUGGAAUUCCUGGUGUAGCGGUGAAAUGCGCAGAUAUCAGGAGGAACACCGGUGGCGAAGGCGGGUCUCUGGGCAACAACUGACGCUGAGGAGCGAAAGCGUGGGGAGCGAACAGG